CGCUGGCCAAGACCCCCUAGCAUCUGGGACCAGAGGAAGGGGAAUGUUGCUGAACCCUCAGAUGAGGAGCGGAAGAAGAAGUCUCAGUUUACAGGGGCUCUCCAGAGACACCGGGUAUCCAGAGUGCUGCCUGCAGAGGACUUCCCUGCUCGUGGGGCCUGGACACUUGGCCGUGAGGUUUGGGACAAGCAGGUCCACAGCGUCGGGCCUGGGAGCCCUGGUGUGCUAGUCCUGCAGCUGCCAGACAGAGAAGAUUCUGCUCAGGGCCAGACCUUGGCGGGCUGGGUGAGGGUGUUCAAGGCACUUCCCACUGCCCUGGGAACCCAGCGAAUGAGGCUGGAGGAAAGAAUAAAACCAGAAGGUACCUAUCACUCACCAGCCAGUCCCGUCCUCCCAGCUCUUCCUUCCCAUCACCGCUGACCACACAGGCCUCUCUCUGAGUGCUGACAGCUGUGCUCUCUGAACCCCAACUGGCCAAAGAGUGCAGGGAGCAGGCCACAGCACGGAUGGCUUUGGAGGAGUCCCCAGGACAAGUUGGUCGCUGGGGCUAGUUCCUGUCAGCUGUCCAGGGCUGAGCUCCGGCCCGGGCUGCUCACAGAGCCGCAUUGUUCC
ensembl:lncRNA